rnacentral:rRNA from 1 species
AGAGUUUGAUCAUGGCUCAGGAUGAACGCUGGCGGCGUGCUUAACACAUGCAAGUCGAACGAAGCACUUUAUUUGAUUUCCUUCGGGACUGAUUAUUUUGUGACUGAGUGGCGGACGGGUGAGUAACGCGUGGGUAACCUGCCUUGUACAGGGGGAUAACAGUUGGAAACGGCUGCUAAUACCGCAUAAGCGCACAGCAUCACAUGAUGCAGUGUGAAAAACUCCGGUGGUAUAAGAUGGACCCGCGUUGGAUUAGCUAGUUGGUGAGGUAACGGCCCACCAAGGCGACGAUCCAUAGCCGACCUGAGAGGGUGACCGGCCACAUUGGGACUGAGACACGGCCCAAACUCCUACGGGAGGCAGCAGUGGGGAAUAUUGCACAAUGGGCGAAAGCCUGAUGCAGCGACGCCGCGUGAGCGAAGAAGUAUUUCGGUAUGUAAAGCUCUAUCAGCAGGGAAGAUAAUGACGGUACCUGACUAAGAAGCACCGGCUAAAUACGUGCCAGCAGCCGCGGUAAUACGUAUGGUGCAAGCGUUAUCCGGAAUUACUGGGUGUAAAGGGAGCGCAGGCGGGCGAUCAAGUUGGAAGUGAAAUCCAUGGGCUCAACCCAUGAACUGCUUUCAAAACUGGUCGUCUUGAGUAGUGCAGAGGUAGGCGGAAUUCCCGGUGUAGCGGUGGAAUGCGUAGAUAUCGGGAGGAACACCAGUGGCGAAGGCGGCCUACUGGGCACCAACUGACGCUGAGGCUCGAAAGUGUGGGUAGCAAACAGGAUUAGAUACCCUGGUAGUCCACACCGUAAACGAUGAUUACUAGGUGUUGGGAGAUUGACCCUCUCAGUGCCGCAGUUAACACAAUAAGUAAUCCACCUGGGGAGUACGACCGCAAGGUUGAAACUCAAAGGAAUUGACGGGGGCCCGCACAAGCAGUGGAGUAUGUGGUUUAAUUCGACGCAACGCGAAGAACCUUACCAAGUCUUGACAUCCCUUGACGAUGCUGGAAACAGUAUUUCUCUUCGGAGCAAGGAGACAGGUGGUGCAUGGUUGUCGUCAGCUCGUGUCGUGAGAUGUUGGGUUAAGUCCCGCAACGAGCGCAACCCUUAUGGUCAGUUACUACGCAAGAGGACUCUGGCCAGACUGCCGUUGACAAAACGGAGGAAGGUGGGGAUGACGUCAAAUCAUCAUGCCCUUUAUGACUUGGGCUACACACGUACUACAAUGGCGUUAAACAAAGAGAAGCAAGACCGCGAGGUGGAGCAAAACUCAGAAACAACGUCCCAGUUCGGACUGCAGGCUGCAACUCGCCUGCACGAAGUCGGAAUUGCUAGUAAUCGUGGAUCAGCAUGCCACGGUGAAUACGUUCCCGGGCCUUGUACACACCGCCCGUCACACCAUGAGAGCCGGGGGGACCCGAAGUCGGUAGUCUAACCGCAAGGAGGACGCCGCCGAAGGUAAAACUGGUGAUUGGGGUGAAGUCGUAACAAGGUA